rnacentral:rRNA from 1 species
UGCCAGCCGCCGCGGUAAUACGGAGGGUGCAAGCGUUGUUCGGAUUUACUGGGCGUAAAGAGCGCGUAGGCGGCUUCAUAAGUUAAGGGUGAAAUCCCGGGGCUUAACUCCGGAACUGCUCUUAAAACUGUGGAGCUAGAGACAAUCAGAGGUGGGUGGAAUUCCAGGUGUAGAGGUGAAAUUCGUAGAUAUUAGAAGGAACAUCAGAGGCGAAGGCGGCUUUCUGGUCCGAUACUGACGCUGAGGUACGAAAGCGUGGGGAGCAAACAGGAUUAGAUA